UUCCUUUUUUGGGGGGAAUUUUUUUCCUCAGAGAUAACCAAUCAUCCUUGGAACUUUAAAACAAAAAUUAACAUUUGAUGUUAUUUACUGCAUAACUAAUUAUUCCAAAAUGUAGUGGCUUAAAAGAGCACAUAUUUAUCAAUCUGAUAGUUUCUGCGAGGCAUGUAUCUAGGUAUGACAACUGGGUCCUCUGCUUCAGUUUCUCACAAGGCUGCAAUUAAUGUGUUGGCUAAGGAGGGUCUGUGGUCUCAUCCAAAACCUUGACUGGGGAAGGAUCUGCUUUGAAGCUCACUCAUGGUUGGCAGCAUUCAGUCUCCUGUAGAAUGUUGGGUUGAUAGCCUUGCUUCCUUCCCACAUGAGCCCUUUCCACAUGGCAGUUUACUUCAUCAAAACAUGCAAGCCAAGAAGACAAGAGAGAACAUCUGGUAAGACAUGCCACAGCUUUUUGUAACUCAGUCAUAGGGAGUGACAUCCUAUCUGCAUUACCAUAUUCUUGGUUAGAAGCAGAUACUAGGUUUAGCCUACUUAAUAGGAGGGGUGACAUGGACAUGAAGGACAUGAACAAUAGGAAGCUGGGAUCAUUGGAGGCCAUCUUGGAAGCCGUCUUCCACAAUAGUUGCCUACCUAUGCCUUGGUUUUCUCUGUGUUUGUAUUAACCUUUUUUCCCCCGUGAUACUUACUGUGAUUAUCUUGAGUAAUUUAAAUAGAAUUUUUCAUUUGAAUUUUAGCUGUGUCUAUGCUAUUCGUUUUAUGUUUCUGAUAUAUUUAUUAGCACUGUUAUGGAUUUGUUUUGGUCUUCAGUUUAUCUCUUCUAUCAUCUCACUCUGUUUUAUCAACUAUUCCUUGAAGUCUAGUUUUCUUGAAUUUAUGUUUUUAUUAAGUUCUAAUAGAGUGUGACAUUUGAGAUGAAUCUUCUUUUCCUUAGGCAUGUUUGCAGAGUUGCCUUGCUGUUUCUCUGAAAAAUUGUGGGUGAAUGCUCUUUAACACUUCUGCCACCUUUUUCUGAUGUUUGUUUUCUCCUGUGGGCUAUAUUGUGAAGGCUGGGGUGUUCUUUUAUGUACUUUCCUGAAGCCUGAGGGAGGGGGAGAGGGAGCACAUGGCCAAUGCACUGUUUUUGUUAGGUAGCCUUCAGGAAUGUUUCCUCUUUUCUCUGGGGUUACCUUUGGGUUAUCUUCUCUAUUAAGUGUGGAUCCCUGAAAAAUGGCAUACCCUGGUGGUUUUUCUAGCCCCUGCUGAAAUCCUUUGAAGGAACGUACUUAUUUAUCAAGAUUUAUCUAAAAAUAUGGUCUGCAGAAAUGAACAUAGAUGUGCUGACAAAUAAAUUUUUGUGAAACAUUGCAGAUGUUAGAUGGAUUUGGGAGAAUUUUCCAUAGGAUUUCACAAACUAAGUAAGAGGAGGAACUUAUUAGUGAGUACCAGAAGUUUAUUAAUCUGUUUGUAUUACAUAAAUAAAAAUAAAAUGCUUUAGUUGUGAGUUAAAAAGCUAAUGGAAACUGAUAUAGGGAAGUUAAAGUCAACAUAAAGUAAUAAUACCAGAAAUCCUAAAUUUGUUGUAUUUCAGUCAUUUUUAUGAAUUAAAAAAAUCUUUUUUAACUUGUGGUUCUUUAAUUAUUUUUCCCAUUUUCAGUUUAGGAAAUCUGUUUGUGUUCAUUGAGUUAGGUAAAAUAGAGGACUUAGGUUCUUAGUGCAUGCUAAUGUGGUUACUUCUAGAUUUGUCCAAAACAUCAGACAGGAUUCGUGUUGCGUAUUACUCAGAGAGCUGGUUAUAUUAGAACUCAGGCUUUGGGUAGUAACUGAACCCUUCUUUCUUUGUUACCCAUGGAGAAGUUACAUAGAUGCUUAGUUUACGGUGCUGAUUAUUAUUAUUAUUACUUUAUGAAAACAAAACAAAACAAUCUGUAGACUUGAAGGAGCAAAGAAUGUGGUGUUCACCCUGUGCUACCCCAGAAAUACCCUUAGUGAAUAAUGUUUUUCUAACAGAUUCAUUUUAACGUGAGCUCAUUUUUACUCUUAAGUGUUUAAGCCAUUUUUUAAUGUAUGUCUUUUGUCUCCUUAGCCUUUACUUUCAUUUUAGUGACAUUGUGAAAUUAAGCCCUAUCUGAUUCCCACAAGAGUAACUUAGGUACUUCUACAUUGGCGUUAGUAGCUGUGCCUUCUCUUUAGACUAGACUACCUUAUCCAUAUUGUGUUUAGGAAUUCAUAUGAAAAUUUGUUCUUAUCCACAGUUAUUUUUUUCUUCAUGCCCAUUUUCCUUGAAAAUGUUUAAAAAAUAUGUCUUGUAUAGAAUUAGAAACUUCAGUAUCUGUAUCACAUCACUGGCUAUAAAAAUUAUGUUACUGAUUUAUUUACUUCCUUUAAGUUUUCCCCCAAAAAUCUCCUUAGAGGGGCCUACCUGGAUGACCCUACUGAAAAUGUAACCUACUAGGUCCUUCCUCCUAUAACCUCCCACACCCCUGAACUUCUCUCUCUUUUUCUGUAACUCUUACCACAUUGUAACAUACUGCACAAUACUCCUUUUAGAAUAAGGGAUCCUGGUUUGUUUUACUCUUGUGUCCCUAGAACCUAAAACAGGCUUGGUACAUAGACAUGUUCAGUAAAUAUUUAACAAAAGAAUGGAUUAAGAAUAUACAGUUGUCCCUCAUUAUCCACAGGGGAUUAGUUACAGGAUGCCUGUCCCUCCCCAGGAAACCAAAACCUAAAUCCCAUUAAUACUGUAUUUUUGGUCUGUGUUUGACUGUGGGUAUGGAACCCCCAGAUAAGGAAUGAUAUUUAUUGGAGGGAAAAAAAGCCCACGUGUAAGUGGACCUGUGCAACUCAAACCCGUGUUGUUCAAGGGUCAACUGUAUUAUUUGAGAUCUUUUUCUCCUAUUGUAUAGAAUAAGAAUUUUCAUGCCCUAAACCAGUUACUUUCCAUUUCUUUUCACCUGGAACAUAGUAAGAAAUACAGUUUAAAAUACAACCCUGAGUACACAUACAUAUGAACAGAUUGUUAGAAAUCUGAAUUACUCUCUGCCCCCAGCUGUUGUAAGACUAAACAGGCCAGGAAUUAUGCAUAUAUUCAGUAAACUAGAAUGUGACAGAUACUUCCUAUGAAAAAUGUAAUGCUGAGACUCCUUAAAUGGUUGGUUGAUCACCAUUGUAACCAUGUAAUAUUUUAUACUAAAACCAGAUGACUUAGGAAAUAACUUCCUGUUUGACAUUAAAAAAAUAUGAUGAUUCUUUAGUUUUAAAGUUUGUACAUUUUUGAGGAAGCUCUUUUAAGCUUAAAUGUCAGCAAAGCAGCUGCUGCUUGAAUUUACUUUGUAAAACACUGAAUUAUUCAUUUACAUAAAUAAAACUUCCUUAGUAAUUAUUUAGCAUUAAUUUCUUUUUCUUUAUUUCAAUCAACCCUGUUGACAUUCUGUUUUAAAAUUAAAAAUAUUCUUUGUGGAAUUUUACAAAUAAAACUGUGACAGCCACUUUCUUUACUCCCUUUUGUUUUCAUAACAGGAUUUCCAGAUCCUGAGAUGAGUUGUGUCUUAUGGUUUAUUUUUAUUAUUUUAAUAAAAGUUACUAAUAAAAUGUAGAACACAAGUAAAUUCUUAUUUAAAAAUGUCUUCUAAGUAGCUUCUAAGACCAACUGCUAUGACUUUGACUUAUUUAACAUGUAUUAUCUUGAAUUCUAACAAUGUGAACUUGUUAGAAAUAUUUUAAAUAAUUAUUUCAUUGUUUGUAUUCUCCGAUUAUUUAAUAGAGUAAUAAGGAAACAAGUAAUGUUUGUUGUUUUACAUUUUUUGGCACUCUUCCAUCUGUUUUUGCAAAUGUGGGAAUACCUCCUUGAAUUUUGUGCUGCCCUUCUAGUAGCCUGUGGUGAGUCCUUCCACCUUCAAACUCUUAUUAGUUAUUUAUGGGGCCUCCUUGGGCCAUCAGUCUUUACUGCCGUGUGAUGUUUCUUGCCAUCUUUCCAGAAUUGCUAUUUUAUUUAUUUAUUUGUUUCUUUGUUUAAUUUUAAAUAUGUCACUGCCUUGCUGGUCCAUUGGAGACUUCUUGAGGGCAACAGACAAACUAUUUGAUAGCUGAAUACAUAUUUGGUAAGUUAGCGUUUUAAAGUAGCAUCCAGUCAAAUGAAACAUUCUUACCUAAAGUGCUUCUUGCAGCAUCCAUUUAGAGAGGUUUAGUAACUGAUCCCUAAGACAAUCAGUGUGGGCUUAAAGAAAAUGUAAACUUUUAGCUAAGGGCCCAUCUGAAUCCCUGUUGAAAUGUACUACAGCCACCAUUAUUGUGGCAGCCUCAUAGGACCAUGGAAGAGAAUGAGGCCUGUGGAAUUAGAGAUGGGAAAAGUCUCCAUUUAAUUCCUCUGUCCUAGGUUCUACAAUGCUAUUUAGAAUAUAAUUAUGGAGACCUCUGCUUUAAUAGUUGUUGUGUGGGUGACAGCAGUUUUUGUGGGAAUAACCACAAGUGUUUAAUUAUUUUAGAGCUGGAAUGUUCAAGGAAGCUUUUCCAGCGAUGACACAGACCAUCAGCCUUCAGCUGGGAGCCAUUACGCAGACAUGUUUUUCCUCUGCAGUAUUUUAAAAACAAAGUUAGCUAUUUAAAAUUGUGAGAUUUUACAUAAAACAAAAAUUCCAGCUUAGAAAAAAGGUAAAUCCUCAGAUCUGAUGAUUCUGUAUUUCCAGUCCUACAAGACAAACAAUGAUCUCAAAUAAAGUAACAGCUGUACCUUUAAACAUGGACAUGUGUUGUAGUGGUUCAUUACAGUUUUUGUGCUUGCACUGUUCAUGUAUUUAUACACACACACACAUUAUGUAUUUAUAUAUACAUAAUAUAUAUACAGAUAGAUAUGUUUAUGUACAAAAACAUAUUUCUCUGAAAUUGUGCUUCAGUCAUAAGUAAGAAAACCAAACUGAGCUGUUGUUCUGGUUCAAGAAAAACAGGAUGGAGCCUUUUGUGAAGGUAAAGAAUAUUCUUUUGUGUUUAACAUGCAAAUGGGUCAACUU